rnacentral:lncRNA from 10 species
CCCUGUUGUCCAGGCUGGAGUACAGUGGCGCCAUCUUGGCUAACUGCAACCUCCACCUCCCCGGUUCAAGCAAUUCUCCUACCUCAGCCUCCUGAGUAGCUGGGACUACAGGCAGCCGCCACCAUGACCAGCUAAUUUUUUUUUUUACUUUUAGUAGAGAUGGGGUUUCACCAUGUUAGCCAGGAUGGUCUCGAACUCCUGACCUUGUGAUCCGCCCACCUCAGCCUCCCUAGGUGCUGGGAUUACAGGCGUGAGCAACCACCCGGCCUUAUUGUUCUUAUAUUAAAACAAAAGAACCUAGAAAAAAUUGCUUGGUUAAAUUGUAGAGAGGAAGGGAGGGAAGGAAAAUGAAGGCUUUUCUUCUUUGUUCUUUAAAAGUCCAAGCACUUUCUUUCAGAAUCAAAAUGUAGAGAGGCAGUCAGUCUUGGAGCAUGCUUUUGCAUUUUAGGAUACUACUCAUUAAUUCAGUUUUAAAGCAUUCACUGGGUUGAGCACAAUUUUAAAAAGGUUCUGACUCACCCAGAUCCUGUUUGAAGCUCAACUCAUUUUGAUUGAAAGAGAUUUGAGACAAGAAUUUCAGAAGAGAAAAAUGUGUGUUACACCUGGACAUAUAUACACAUGUAACAGGGAUUGUAUUCCUUCUAGUCUAAGACAAGAGAUUCUAUGGUAAAUUAUUUAAAAAAAUUAGUUUUUUUUCUAGCAUUGUAUUGUCACCAGAAAGAAGAGUGCUGAAUUCUCUGUUUCUGCAUUUCCCAAUAAUAAAUCUCCUAGGAGAGAUAACUUUUUGCAGUUGUGCCCCCCACCCAUUUUCUCUGUGGCUUGCUUUAUUUCCCACAUAUGAAUACACACACAGCAGAUACAUCAUGCACAAACUUUUUUUAAUGUGUAAUCUGUAAAUCUAGGCCCAUUAAGUUUUCAUUGAAGUUGGGAAACUGUUGAGGACUUACUUUUGUUCUUCACCAUGCGUGCACUUUGCCAAGGAUCUUUGGUAACCAAUAAAACGAUCAUGUUCACUCUGAA